rnacentral:rRNA from 1 species
UACGUAGGAGGCAAGCGUUGUCCGGAAUUACUGGGCGUAAAGCGCGUGUAGGUGGUGGGACAAGUCUGCUGUGAAAGCGCCUGGCUUAACCGGGCGAGGUCGGCGGAAACUGUCCGACUCGAGGACGGUAGAGGGGGGUGGAAUUCCCGGUGUAGUGGUGAAAUGCGUAGAGAUCGGGAGGAACACCUGUGGCGAAGGCGGCCCCCUGGGCCGGCCCUGACACUGAGACGCGAAAGCUAGGGGAGCAAACGGG